CCUACGGGAGGCAGCAGUGAGGAAUAUUGGUCAAUGGGCGCAAGCCUGAACCAGCCAAGUCGCGUGAGGGAUUAAGGCCCUACGGGUUGUAAACCUCUUUUGCCGGGGAGCAAGGGCGGGGACGUGUCCCGGCCCGGAGAGUACCCGGAGAAACAGCAUCGGCUAACUCCGUGCCAGCAGCCGCUGUAAUACGGGGGAUGCGAGCGUUAUCCGGAUUUUUUGGGUUUAGAGGGUGCGUAGGCGGGGUGUUAAGUCAGCGGUAAAAAUUCGGUGCUCAAACGCGUCCGGCCGUGGAUACUGGGAGCCUUGAGUGGGCGAGAAGAGGGCGGAAUGCGUGGUGUAGCGGUGGAAUGCAUAGAUAUCACGCAGAACCCCGAUUGCGAAGGCAGCCUUCCGGCGCCCUACUGACGCUGAGGCACGAAAGUGCGGGGAGCGAACAGGAUUAGAUACCCCGGUAGUC
rnacentral:rRNA from 1 species